AAAUUCUUCGAUUCGGAAGUUUCAGAAGCUCAGAAAUAUCAAAAAUCUGAGAUUCGAAAGAUUUGAAAACUUGAGAAUUCCAAAACUUUUAUGUUCGAAAAUUUUAAAAUUCAUCUAGUAUGUCGCAGAUACUAAAAGUAGAUUACAGAGUUAACAGGUUGAAUUUAAGCGAGCACGCAAAUGCCUCUAACAGCUGACGAUUGCUCUCUUUCCGGUGGUUCAACGAUAUUAGAGAAAUUCGCACGUUGUCUCCACACGUGGUAACGCACAGCUAAAUAUACGCGACUAAUGACUGUUACGAAAUGUCAAGCAGAAGCUGCCGAGUAGUGGGUCAGUCGUAAAGUCAGAUUCUGUUUCGCGUGUGUUCCCUAACAAGCGAUUAGUUUCGAGGAGAAAGGUGUCGAUUUUCAAUGGGUAUCGAUUUUCAAUGAGUAUCGAUGAUCGAGUCUGUACGCAACAAAAUGGUUGUACUCACUACAUUUUAGCUUUAUUUAAGUAAAUACUUACGUUACAAAAUAAAUUACACAUAACAUAAAUUGCUAGCCAAUAACAAUUCUUUGCAAUGUGAAGACUUAGAAAGUUCUAUCGCGAGAUAUGUGAAGCGGAAAAACUUAGAAUUGACCCUCUCAACUGGAGGCGAGACAAAAACAGCGUACAGAUCUUUAAGAUGAAAUAUACAGUGGCUUAUUUCUAGCCACAUUUUAUGAACACAUUAUGUGCGUUAUACAAAAUAUUUUUAAAUUGCAUUAACACUGUUAUGAGACUUGGCUAUCAUGAUUAUGUUAAUCAAAUAUGAAACAAGUCUGAAAAUACAUAUAGAAAUUACAAGAUAUUUAGCAUCUACAAGUAUAUAAUUCACAGAGAUGACAAAAAUAUUUAAACAGUCAAUUAUCCAUUACAUUAAUAAAACUCGAUAUUCAGUUGGUCUAUCUUUAACAAAUAUUGUAUAUGCUUAAGGCUAUUUAUGAUAUAUACUAAUUUCUUACUAAAUAUAAAUUUACAGUAAAUAUCUUGCAACUUGUAUAUACAUUUCAGAUUUCGAAUUGUACCGAUAUAAUCAUAUGUUAUUAUAAUACCAAUGGAAUAUCAAAAUGUUUUACGUAACAGAUACAAUACGGACAUAAAAUUUUUCUAUGUUAAGUGUUCAAAUACUUUCGUGAACUCUAUUAUUUCGCUAUAUGAUUUCUUUCUUCGUAAUGAAGACAAAGAAAAGAUCGUAUUCAGUUCUGCUUAGGGGGUUAUUGAGGAAAUCGAUGAUGGAGAUCUAUUCUUUGCCGGAGGAACAAGCUAGUAGAAGGAAAUAUCGACGAAAGUUCGCUGGCGGCUGGUGUAUACUGCGCAAAUGCUCUCCCGCCUCUCGGAAUAUUACUUGGUUGCCCAAGGUUGCCGUUCGUUCUGCUCACGACUCGAGCAUUAUGCACGUGUAUAGAUAUAUCAGCUACGCACUUACAGCAAUAUACCUCUACACCAACGUAUUUACGAUACACGCUUAGAAGAUCUAUCUCUUUAUCGUGCAUAUACACCAGGAGAGUACAUAUCAGCGUUUCCCAACCAUUUUUCUAUUCCGUUAAAACGUUUACUUAUCACGUGCAAAACGUGUUUUCUUCAUCGUUAACUAAAGUAUAAUGAGAUAUUCGAUGAAGCUAGUGAAUAAUUCAAGAUGACUCUAACUGAUUGAACCGAGACAAAGUCGAGCUGAAAAACGAGAUUGGGAAACUCUGUAAGCGCAAUGCACCUAUUCUUUGUUCAUUUCUCGGCUUUUAAGAGCGUGCCUCGCAUCGGUGCACGGCAAUUAUUGACGUGUGUGUGAAAACCAAGAGAUACAUCGAGCACCGUAUGUUCUAUGUAUGUAUAUACGAGAGUAUAUGCGCGUCUGAUUGGUACCAGAACUACCAGGGCCUCUCCCUUCCGAACAAACGACGAUGGUUCAAGUUGGUCGCUUGCACGACACGGAUCAACGAUUUAACGUGAACAGAAAACAGAACAGUCUCUUUCGAUCUUUGCGGUCGGAUCGUUCCAAAUCGAUCGAUCGCUUCCCCGAUACGCGGAAUCUCACUUUCUCUGAAACUCUGUUUUCUUUUCCCUUUGUCUUGCUGCUCACCGUGAAGCAUGUUUUGAGAAUUAAUCGAGAUAUAAAAACAAUAUCAGGCAAAUCUUAAUUCGAAAAUGGAAGAAUAAUUACUUAUCCACUUGGAGAAAUCAUUUUCCAUGAAGAAGAAAAAUACGGGUAGUUCCUGUUUCUUUUAGAAUGUUCGUUGGUAAAAAACGGUAAUACAAAAAACCAUUCGUAAUUUUUAUGUUAACGAAUGAGUAAAUUAAUUACUUCCCGUUUCAUAGCGUUUUAAAUAAUGAAGACAUAUCCUCGUUCAUAUGUGUAUGUAAUAUGUUAUACUGAUAUGACUGAGAUGUCGUUUGAUGAUAUUGAUAUCUUAUAUAUUAUUUUCGUUCAUAUACAUCUAUAUAUUACAUAUAAAUGUAUAUAUUAUUAUACACAUAUGAACGACACGUUAUACAUAACAAAUCAUUGUCUUUCUAUAGUUGAGGAUCGAUUGAAAGUUUGUCCAUUUAUACUCUGAUUAAAUAAUGCACGACCGCGCACGUUGCUUUCUAAUCAUUUAUUUACGCGAAUAUUUUCGACGUGGAAACGCAUCUACUAUAAUCGUAAACUUUAUAGAAGCAUUAUUCGUGGAGUUGAAUCGCUUUCGUAAUCAUAAUCUACGUCUUCCGUAAGCACAGCGUGUAAAGUGACCGAUAGAAGUCCUGUAAAUGGAAAUUUUUAUUGAAUAAUCUCCACGAAGAGAUUGAUUUUUUACAAAGAACACGAUAAUAAUGACGUAUUAUCGCUAAUGUUUCAUUUCAUUGAUUUCACAAUCCAGAAUAAUUACGAAGCAUCGAACAUUUGUAUUUUGUCAUGAAUGAUCAUGAAAAAUUAAGUAUUAAAAUAUGUUAUUUCAAAUAAAAGAGAUACUCAUUUUUUGAAAUAAUUAUCGAAAAUGGAGAGUAUAGCAGUAAAUAAGUUAAUCAAAGAGAAUUAAGAAUCGAGAAAUUAAUGACAUAAAAUCUGUAUUCGAAACGCUGCUGUUUAAUGCUGCAUAAAUUCGCGCUACCUUAUGUCCGAACGUGUUAAAGUACUGUUCCUUUCAAUUGCGUUGGCCUUGAGGUUAGUAGACAAGGAACGACGCAAUUCUCACGAUUAAUGCUUCUUUGUCCGAUCUUCUUUCACGCUCUAUUAUCGUUGGACUUUAUGUUGUAACGUACUCUGAAGGUUAAUAAAAGAAACUUCUAAUUUGUUCUUCUAUUACAAUUUAAUUACUUCGAUCAUCUACACAUAUUGUAUAUACGUUUUUAUUUGUGGAAAACGAAUUUACGAACUAUACCUAACGACACCUAUAAUCUACGACCAAUGAACCGUCGCCUCCACUGUCGAUAAAUCAGACAAUCCUUCAACGCAUUACAAACCAGCCCUUAAAAAAUGUCAACAUAUAAAAUAUUAGCUUUAAGUCUAAUCUGAUACAGUUAUGAUCGAAGUAAACGGCGUAAGUAAAACAGUGACGUAAGAAUAACGAAACCAUAAUAAAAAUAAUGAAAAUAAUGAAAAUGCGACGCUAACAGCUGUCAAGACACGCUGUUUAGAAGCGUAGAUUGCGCGCGUACAGCUGAUAAUGAUUAUAAUCUUGAAAGAAAAGGGAUAACCUUAAAAAAUAACAAUCACUACAUACGCAUUGUGACUAUUACUAUAUCUGAAUCAUAUUUUUGACAUAUCGUCAUACAUGAGUCUUCCGAUACGCAACACGUUCGAAUCUUGUAACAGGGACUUAAGCUUACAACUUGUUACUAAAACGAAUGAAAUAUUUGUGUCGGUGAUAUAACCAAAAUAACGUUAUAUUAAACGCAUGUUACUUAGGUGGAUCGAUCGAACACGAGUUUGGAAAGAUUGAAUGAGAGCGGAACGAAGACGCAGUACAAGAAUACCAUGAAGGAAUCGGGUCAAGGAUCCUACAACUAAGCUAAUGACAAACAGAUUAUUAUUUUAUACGAGAAGAUAA